AAGAGAGGUCUGGGGACACAAAGAACUGCUAAUUCUUUUUAUUAUGGUUCAAAUCCAUAACUCACUUG
rnacentral:tRNA from 1 species